UACGUAGGGCGCAAGCGUUAUCCGGAAUUAUUGGGCGUAAAGAGCUCGUAGGCGGUCUGUCGCGUCUGCUGUGAAAACUCGGGGCUUAACCCCGGGCCUGCAGUGGGUACGGGCAGACUAGAGUGCGGUAGGGGUGACUGGAAUUCCUGGUGUAGCGGUGGAAUGCGCAGAUAUCAGGAGGAACACCGAUGGCGAAGGCAGGUCACUGGGCCGCAACUGACGCUGAGGAGCGAAAGCAUGGGGAGCGAACAGG
rnacentral:rRNA from 1 species